rnacentral:piRNA from 1 species
UGCUUAAGUCCAAACACAAGAUGGAAGACAU